CCUACGGUGGCAGCAGUAGGGAAUUUUCGUCAAUGGGCGCAAGCCUGAACGAGCAAUGCCGCGUGAACGAGGAAGGUCUUCGGAUCGUAAAGUUCUGUUGAAGGGGAAAAAGAGCGGAGAGAGGAAAUGCUUUCUGAUUGAUAUUACCCUUCGAGGAAGUCACGGCUAACUACGUGCCAGCAGCCGCGGUAAUACGUAGGUGGCGAGCGUUAUCCGGAAUGAUUGGGCGUAAAGGGUGCGUAGGCGGCCUGCUAAGUCUGGAGUGAAAGGUACCGGCUCAACCGGUACAGGCUCUGGAAACUGGCGGGCUAGAGAGCAGGAGAGGGCGGUGGAACUCCAUGUGUAGCGGUGAAAUGCGUAGAUAUUAGGAGGAACACCGGUGGCGAAGGCGGCCUGCUGGACUGUGACUGACGUUGAGGCCCGAAGGCGUGGGGAGCAAACAGGAUUAGAUACCCUUGUAGUC
rnacentral:rRNA from 1 species